CAUGGAGGGUGAGAAUCCCGUUCGGUUGAUCAGACUUCUUUACGAUACGUCAUCAAAGAGUCAAGUUGUUUGGGAAUGCAGCUUAAAAUGGGAGGUAAAUUUCUCCUAAGGCUAAAUAUUGGCGAGAGACCGAUAGCGAACAAGUACCGUGAGGGAAAGAUGAAAAGCAUUUUGAAAAGAAAGUCAAAUAGCACGUGAAAUUGUUGAAAGGGAAACGAUUGAAGUCAGUCGUACCGAUGGGCAUUCAACUCCUCGGGUGCGAUUAUGUGGGUGUUGGGGAGCUUAACGGCCCUCGCGUUUGCGUAUUUGUGCCCUUCGGGUGUACUUGCCCGUAUGGUAGGUCAGCAUCAAUUUUGGACAUCAUAAAAUGACGGGGGGAAAGUAGCUUCGAUCUCGUAUUGAAGUGUUAUAGCCCCUGGUAGAUGUGAUGACCGGGAUUGAGGAUUGCAACGAACCCUUCGGGGCUACCUGUCUGAUCUCUGAGAGUUGCUCUGGUGCUGAAAGCGUGCUUAUGGUAUCAAAGUUGACGUUCAAUAGGUUAGAACGGGAUAAAUUCGUUAAGGAUGUUGACGUAAUGG
rnacentral:rRNA from 1 species